rnacentral:rRNA from 1 species
GACGAACGCUGGCGGCGUGCUUAACACAUGCAAGUCGAGCGGUAAGGCCCCUUCGGGGGUACACGAGCGGCGAACGGGUGAGUAACACGUGAGCAACCUACCCUUCACUUCGGGAUAAGCCUCGGAAACGGGGUCUAAUACCGGAUAUCACCAGUUUCCUCAUGGUUUCUGGUUGAAAGUUCUGGCGGUGGGGGAGUGGCUCGC